rnacentral:tRNA from 1 species
AGAAUAGUAUUUAAAUUUUAUAAAAUCUAAUUUGCAAUUAGAAAUUGCUUUGCCUAUUCUG